UACGUAGGGGGCUAGCGUUGUCCGGAAUCAUUGGGCGUAAAGCGCGCGUAGGCGGCCAGAUAAGUCCGGUGUGAAAGUCACAGACUCAACCUGUGAAUGCCGCUGGAAACUGUCUGGCUAGAGUCCGGAAGGGGCGAGUGGAAUUCCUGGUGUAGCGGUGAAAUGCGCAGAUAUCAGGAGGAACACCAAUGGCGUAGGCAGCUCGCUGGGACGGUACUGACGCUGAAGCUCGAAAGCUAGGGGAGCAAACGGG
rnacentral:rRNA from 1 species